rnacentral:rRNA from 1 species
UGGCGGACGGGUGAGUAAUGUCUGGGAAACUGCCCGAUGGAGGGGGAUAACUACUGGAAACGGUAGCUAAUACCGCAUAACGUCGCAAGACCAAAGAGGGGGACCUUCGGGCCUCUUGCCAUCGGAUGUGCCCAGAUGGGAUUAGCUUGUUGGUGGGGUAACGGCUUACCUAGGCGACGAUCCCUAGCUGGUCUGAGAGGAUGAUCAGCCACACUGGGACUGAGACACGGCCCAG